CCCUCCCCGGCCCCCUCCUCCACCCAGCAGCCCCUCCACCCCCUUCGAGCCGUUCGCAGCCAUCCAGACCGACUGGAAGGCAACAAAAGGGGCAGGAGUCGGUGUCGCUGCAGCCGCACGCAGAGCAGCGCGGAGGACGGGACCGGGACCGGGACCGGCGCUCCGGGAGGGGGCGAUCUGAGCGAGCGACGCGGCGGAGGUCCGGGUCUGGAGCGAGGGGACCCGGGGGGGGGGGGACGGACACCCAGCACCGGAGCGGACCGCACGCGAGCGGAGCCAGGCUCGACUUUCUCCCGCUCCGAUCCCCGCUCCUCGUGGGGGGGGGGGGCGGGGGCGACCGACGACUUCCUGCUCUGUGCUGAGAUGAAGGCCGGGAUGAAGAGGAAGGAGGCCGCCUGCAGCUGAAGGCCCCGCACCACCAGGACGGAGACGAGGCGGACCGCAGGAGGCCCCGGGAAAUCAUUAACCGCUCGCAAACACACACCAUGACUGACUGGAUCCCGCUCCGCCCGCCGUCUCCCUGACUCCGCCCUCCAGCUCCGCCCUGGCAGCGGGGCUCCGCCCACCUGCCCUCCUGGAGCCCGGGACGCCUUCCACGCCUCGCAGCUACAACAGAGACCUCAGGGGGGGCCGCCCCUCCCCGGGACCCCCUCCCCCCUCCCCGCCUCCCCCAUCCCCGCCCGCCAUGCGUCACUGACCCACCCCUUCCAACCGGCGAAUGACAAGCGCGCAUCCGAGGGCGGGGCUUGCCUCAGUCUCUCAUGAUUGGCCGCUGGAUGGAAUUAAGGUGAAUGGAACACAUGCCCAAGGAGCCGGACUCGAACCCAGCAGAGGGAGACCAGAAACAGUGGCUCAAUGGCCCAAAAAGGAAGAGGAAGAACAGCCAAUGUUCUGUGAAGAGUAUGACUGGUGA